rnacentral:lncRNA from 1 species
GGGAAUACCAGGGGUGGGCACUGUCAAGAGACCCAGCUUUGACUUCAAAUGCCACCCAGAGGGACAACUGCUCACUUUCAGAGCAGGAGCAGGAGGCCAGAGGAGAGUGGGUCCCUAUGAUCCAGACCUCAAGAGAGGGUUCCUGGACCUCCCACAGAAAGGGAUUCAAGACCAGCUGAAACUGAUUAGAGCCAAGAUAGCCAACCAAAUGACUUCAGGAAGACCUCAGGCUUCAUUAUCAUCUCAUUUCCAUGCUAAAAAAACCCAGCUCCCUAGAACAAUGGGAAAUAUUGGGCACUUCAUCAGGCGAGUUCAGGUGCAUUUCUAGAGAUUGUCCAGGUGCUGGUAACAAUAAUAGAGAACCAUCCAUAUCCACAAGAGGCAGAACCUCUUCCAGCAAAAUGGUGCUGCCUCACCCAAAGGUGGCCGAGGAGGCCGUCGGAGGACCACAAAGCUGCAAGUGGCUUUCCUGCGGCCUGCAGGGAACAGGUGGAGGACACUUGGAAGGGCACCCACCCCGGGUCUCACAGGAGUCUGCACCCGCAGGUCACACUGGCAUUAGCCCCUCAUCCUCUGGAGUUCAUCUCAUCCAGGCGAAGACAGCUGGCUGGCCUCAGAGGGUCUCAUCCGCUGAGCAGUGCCUCCUCCCGAUUCAGCACGUCCCUGGUGCCGACUUUCUGCACGUGUUCACUUUGAGGCUGCAUUGUGGGCCUGCAAGAAAUGCAAAGCUGGUUGAGGCUUUAUUCAAUUCAAAUUCAAGCUGUUAAAUCGAGGCUCUCAGACUCCUGCUGCCUGGCCAGUGGAGAAAUUAACUUUCACAUAUGGCUUUGGGAUUUCUCUCUGUCAUCCUGGUCGACGUGUUCUCUCAUUUUUCUGAAGUCUGGGACCUCAACACAGACAUCUGGGUGAAGGCCUUGACAGCAGCGCUGGUGCAAAAUGAAUUGUCACAUCACACCCAACGUUCUCAACCUUUAGAAUCUGAAAGUAAGAAAAACACCUCAAACAAAACAUUAAAGAUUGAAUAAUUGAAGGCACUAUGCUUGGUGCUGAAGAAGGUCUAAGGAGGUCUACACCACAGAGGCUGCACCCACUCCUCAGCCUUGCUGAGCCACACCAUUCUCAUCUCUACAGCAUCCACCUCUCUUGGCUCUUGUAAGGAUUGAGACAUGCCACCAGGCUUACUAUUGAUUCUGAGUAAUCAGCACAGAUUUCUAAAAGAAACUUUAUGGGAUGCUGAGACAUGAAUAAAAACAACUUUAUUCCUUUGGAAAGGACAACCCACAUGCUAAGAAGAUGACACUACACGUUGUUAUAGCCCGAAAGGCCCUCUUUCCACAGGGGAGCAGUGAAAAGUAGAGGUUGCCCAUGUGGAUUCCCAAGUCAGAUAGAUGUGGAUUCAGAUCCCAGCUCUGCUGCUUGCUACCCAAGAGACCAUGGACUGUGGACUCUUUAGGUCUCAGGGUUUUUGUUUGUUGUCUGUUUUUCACUUCCAAAACCAGAAAAUGAGAAGAUAUUUUCCAUAAGAUGGCGGUGGAGAAGAGAACUUGAUGGACCUUGCUUGGACAAAAUGCCUUCACCGCUAACUCAGUCAGCUAUGGCGAUGGGUCAAGGACCUGGUGGUUUUACAGAGAAGACCCUUGGUCAAAUCUUUGUGAAUGAAGCAACCAUUCUGAUGUUCAAUAACAGG